CAUCAGUCUGGCAAUCAGGAGAACUCUGUUUAACCUGUGAGUGCUGUGUCCCUAUAUAAACGUGGAUCUAACCCAGUUUCCUUGAAUCUGUGUCGCUCUGUUGACAGCAAGGGAGAGAGGCGGGUUGAUGCAGGUUCUUGAAGAAGUGGGAGCUCUGUGGAGCAGUGAUGAUGAAUGCUGUUCUGCUGGGAUCUGUCCUCUUCACUUCCUCAAACACAAGCAAAUAAGAAGUGAUUGUAAUGCUAGCUGCUGUCUCCAGAUCAAAAGGUGUCACUCCGGCAGUACCUGGGGGAAGCGCCCGCCUCGCAGAGCACGACCCGGCUCCGUCCGCAGCUGCUGUCCCUGCUUGGGGCACAACGCCAUGGCAGCAAACAUGCGGCGCUGUCUCUUCUCAGGUGGGAAUUGUAAACAGCAGCAAAGCAAGUUUGGGGCUUUUUUUUUUUUUUUUCCUCUCCUUUUGCGGAGGGAAAAGGGGUUUUGCAAGUGUUUCCGUGUCACCUGCACCAAUGGGAUGCUGAGAAGGAGGGCUGGGGCUGCGUGCUGCUGUGCCGGAUGGGUUUGGGGAUGUGCGCCCUGCAGCCCUCAUUGCUUGUCCCUCUCAUCCUGUAGCUAUUUCUUCCCCAAGUUUCCAACAAGCUGCUUCCAAUCCUUCCCAGUCUCAAACCAUGCUGGUAUAGAGAGCCAGUUUCAUCCCCCUUUCGGUGCUGUAUUUGCAUAUAUUUGCAUAGCACACAGGUUUCUGGGAGGGGAGGAGGAGCUGGAGAGGCACAUCCUUUAUGCCUUUAUUUUUUUUUCCUCCCCUCUCAGCAGAAUUGCAUUUAUUUUCUUUCAAUCCAGGGCUGUUGCUAAGAGGGGCUCCUGGCCGGGUCCUGGGGAUGGGGCUGCAGGGAAAGGCAGGGACAGGUUCCCUGGUUUUGGGUAACUCAGAGGUGUGGACAAAGGGUACCAUUCAGGCACACCCAGUCCCUGUCCUGGCACUUCGCAAUUCCCUCGGCCCCAUUUGUGAAAGCUGCCAUGCCACCCCCCAGCACUGCAGAAACCAAGAGACUCCCAGUGCCAGCCCAGCACUGCAGGGUCAGAGAUCAGUGAUGGGCUGGGGGAAUUGCCUUCUCAGGUCUGUAUUUUUCCAGUUUCCCAGCCAAAAUGAAAAUGCAAACCCUGGGCAGGCGGAGCUCCUGGGUUUUGGCAAUGAGCUCUCCCUUUCAGGGAUGCUCUGGAUGCAGAAUGCUUCUGAGAUGCAGGCUGGGUGUACGCUUGCUGGAACUGCUGCUUGCUGUGGGCGAUCACGCAGGUCCUGCUGCUCUGCUGCCUUCCCAUGAGCUCCUCCAUCAGGCUCUGCUCCUGGCACUGGGUGUCGGCUCCCUCACCCCAACUAUCACAGCGGGAUGAAAGGGAAAGAAACCUCUUGUUCUCAAAGCUUUGCUGGCUUUCCUUUCCCCAGGGCUUUGCUGGGUUUGCACUCCGUCUGCUCCCUGUCUGGGUUUAGUUCCCUUCCUUGGUCCUCAUGCGGUGCUCCUUCCCAUGGGAUUUGCCGCUUUCCCUGAGAAACAUUAAAUCUCUGGGAUAAGUUUUAGCAGCUCCAGCAAUGGCUCUUGCUAUCUUUGCUGCCCUAAGCUGGGUGGGCCAGGAGCCCUUCAUUUCCCUCCCACUUACCCAUGCUGGUGCCUCGGUUCCCUGCUUGUCCUGAAGAGAAUAGAAAAUGUUUGUGGGGUUUACCUUACGGGCCACAGGUCCUGAUCUUCUCCUCAGCUGCAGUACUGGGAACCCCUUUAGGGAUCUCCCACACACCCUUAAUGUCUCUGCUAUGUUGUUUUUGCUGUAAGAGGGAUAAGGUCAGGGCAACUCCUGGCUGCCCUAGCGAGUGGAAGGACAAAGCAGCAGAAAGCACCCCGCUGGGUGCUGCCCCACCAUCCUUGGACCAUGCAGCUUAGGGCUGCUUCACCUGUGCUUCUUCCUCCCCUGGGGCAGGAUGAAUUGCAGAGUGCCUGCAUGGAUGGGGAUGGUGACAGAGGUGGUGGGACCAGGGGCACAGGGACCAACGAGGGCCCCAGGCUGCAGCAGCCACCUGCAGCACCUCGCGCCUGCCUGGGUUUUAAUUUUUUAUGCCAACUCCUGUUUGCAGCCAACGUGGUGGUGUGGUUCCUGGUAUUCAGGAGCACGGAGGCGAGCGAGCGAGCUGCGGGCUGUGCUGAAAGCUGGCUGUUGCUGAGCAAGGCAGGCAGCGGGCCGGCUGGGGCUGGCUCAGCACGGCUCGGCACGGCCCUACCACGGCCAGGCUGUGCCAUCCCCAUGUGCUGCAGGGGUUGCAGGUCUGGGUGCUGGAAACCGGCUCCUGGGAGACCUGAACUCUGGUUACCCAAACCUCGGGGACCGCCGCAUGGGGACGGGGUUCAGCAUGGAUGCAGGGUGCUCUUUGCUCCCGUGCCCUCUUGCUCAUGGAGCUUUUUCCCAGCCCUGCAGCUCGGGGGCUGUUUGUCUUCAGUUUGACCGUUCCUCCGCCUCCCCCGCCUGUCUCCUCCACUUCCUCAUUCUCGAUGUCGGGUUGAGCAAGAGCAGAGCGGAGCCUCCUCGGGAUCAGGCGCUAAAGCAACACUUUGAGAACUGAGAAGGGCACGGUCUGAGCCUCCCCUCAACCCCACACCUCCCAACGCUGCCGUAAAAUCUGUGCUGAAAAAGGACCAGCAAAUACCAGCCUCCUCCUCCUCCUCCUCGUCCCAUCGCUCCCUCUUUGGGCACAGCGAUUCCGGCUCCGUCCCCUCACCUGAGGGCUGUGCUGAGCGUCCCCACCUGCAGUGGCUGCUCGUCCCAUCCCGGUGCUGCCAUCCCAUCUCCUGCAGGACAGACCCUGUGCCAAGCGUAGGGCGCAGCAUCUGUCCUCAUCCAGGAGCACUGUGGAGCCGUGGCUACGGAGCCGUGCCUUUCGGUCACCAGCUGGUGCCUUUGUGUUGCCCAUACGUGUUCAGUGAUGCAGGAGGAGAUCUUUGGGAUGCUGUGGGGUUGGUCUGAUGUCGGGCAUGAGCCUCGCUGGGUUCCUCCCUCGUUAUCCAUCUCUUUAAGCAUCUGAGACCCUCAGUGCCUCAGUUUCCCCACACGUGUCUGUAACAGUGGGCACAGCUCCCUGAGCCACCCAUAGGCUCUGUGCUCCAGUCCCCAUCUCACAGGACACAGUGCUGGGCCACGAUGCCAAUCUCUGCAGUCCCAACCUCCACACACCCAGAAGGCAUUGAGGAGCACUGCGGCAUCCCCCACCUGUGUGCCUUGUCCCAGCUUGGGGUCAGUGCCAGUGGGUGCUCUGAGCCCACCCUGAGCCCCAUCCCUGUGCUGGUGGGGCAUUUCCACGUCCUUCUGGUGAACCAGCUCAUGACUCCCAUGGUUAAUGUUUGCCUUAACCCCUCUUUCCACACAUUGAUUUGUAUUUGCAUCAUGCCCUGGCCACGGUGCUCAGGAACGCAGGGUGCUUGCAGGGCUCCCCCCACGAGCAGCAGUGUCCCCCAGCCAUGGCUAAGGUCAUUCUUCAUGGGUUUCCCAGCAGCACUGGGGCCUCCAUCCUUUCUCUCCCAUUUAAUCCCAUGAAUUAAACACCGCCUUCACCGCGGAGCGCCGAGCGGUGCCGGCGUAAUGUCCAAGUUUUACGACUUGCCUUGAAGGCACCUAUCGAUUGGGGUCCUCUCUGGAUGAUGGAGCUUUUAGUGCAUCCUGGGCUGUCCGAGCAGGGCUGGAUCCUCAGCCCACGGGGCUCAGCCGCGCCGUGCCGUCACGUCCCCGUGCCCCAUCUCCAUGGGUCCCAUGGGGAGGCGGCAGGCGGGGCCCUCAGUGCCCACACGGCGCCUUUAAGAAGCCCACAACCAGCUCCAGGAACACGAGCUCAAGGUCACAGUGGGAAACCUGCGGACUUGGCAGCGAGGAGAGGAGAGGAGAGCGGGCGGAGGGGAGGAGGAGGGAGGAGGGAAGCAGCUGGGGAUAAAACCCAAAUUCUGGCGGGGAAGAGGGGACGGAGGGGAGCGGGGAGGUGAGGUGCAGGGGGGUCCCACCCAGGGGUGCCUAACUGUGGCACCUUGAGGCCCUGUGCCGCAUCCCCCGGCGCGGCACCCGGACGCCCUCUGGGAGGUUUGGGGUUACCGAAGGCACCGGGAAUGAGGCGGCUGCUCCUGGUCUGGGUUUGGAGAUGCCCGUUUUUAAUUUUCAUCAGCAGAAUUAAUCUGCGGAGCUGCUCCCCCCCCCCCCCCCCCCCCCCCUCCUCCUCCCCUCCCCUUCCUUUCCUCACUGGUUUCGACGGAGAAUUUGAUCACUUCUCCCAGGAGCUCGGCACCAUUAACAUUCACUCCUGGCGCGCACGAGCCGCGCUGCAUCGCCAAGCGCAUCGCCAGCUGUGGGCUGUGGGCUGUGGGCACCUCGACCCCCAUCAGCAGCCCCAGCCCUUGGCCUGGCACCAUCCUCACCCCCACCGAGCCGGGGAGGGGCUGCUUUAUUUCUGUGUCCGCUCCCCCGUAGAAAAAUGAAGGGCACAGCAUAGGAUCAGUGGGUGCUGCCCUUCUCCUGCUUCCAGCCAGCCUUGGGCUCGGAUCUGGAGGUGUCCGGAGGGUCGUGGCCUCAGGGUUUGCUCUGCAGCUGCUGGGACACCUGGGGCUGUCCAAUAUGAUGGAAACCAGAAAGCACUCCGGGGGUAGGAUCCAAAUCUUGCACCAUUUCACAUUUUAAGGGAUGCCAAGUGGUCACCCUGGGCUGCCCCAGAGUUGCAUAAAGUUGUGGACUUUUUUUUUCUUUAAUAAAGGUUAAUAAAGAAUUAACUCCUUAUUGCUGUUAUUAUUACUCCAUCACUGUCACUAUCACUAUUACCAUUACCAUUGCUAUUACUAUUGCCAUUGCUGCUAUUGCUGUUGUUGCUGCUAUUGCUAUAACUAUUGCUAUUUCUAUUGCUACUAUUCCCAUUUCCAUUUCUAUUCCCAUUCCUGUUCUCAUUCCUCUUCCUCUUCCCAUUCCUAUUCCUAUUCCCAUUCCCAUUCUCAUUCCUGUUCCCAUCCGUAUUCCCAUUCCCAUUCCUAUUCCAAUUCCAAUUCCUAUUCCAAACCGCUGCCCCUUGCAUGACAUACAGUUUCCCUGACACCAGCACAGUCCCAGCUGGGACGAUGCCCUCUGGCCCCGAGGUGCCCCCUGUGCUGCAGCAGCAGCAGGAGCUCCAUCAUCCCCUCCACCAGUGUGAGGCUGCAUCCUCCCCAUGUACAAAUGAAGCCCAUUUUUCUCCUUUCUGGCUGUGGCCCCACGCACUGAGCCCAGCCAUGCUGCUCCUCGAGGGCACGGAGCCAUUCACCGAAGCGAGAAGCCGAACGCUUUCUUUUUAGCCUCGCUUUAACAAGUAUUAAUUAACAAGAGAGUAAACACUAAUCCCAAAAUGACACAAACUGUGUCGCUUGAAACGAAUGUUUGGGAGCUGUCUGUGCUGGGAUUUACAGCUGCAUGGGUUAAUGGGUGCUAAAUCAUUGCUCAGGCUGCAAGGAGAAGCCGAGCUGGAGAGGGGCUGGGUGUGCUGCUCAGCCUGGCAUCGGCUGCACGGGGUGCUGGGGCUGUGCUGGGCUGUGCCAUGCCAUGACCUCCUCUGGUAGGAGGUGUGGAUCCGCUCAAUGCUUGGAGCAAUGGUGCCCCCACCCAGCAAUGGCUUUAACCAUAGAGCGCUGCAAGAGCGACCAGAGAGUCACCCUUGCCUACAGCCAACCUCCAACCCUUGUGGGCUCAGGGGAGGCUGGGGGCUGAAGGCAGGGACUCAGCGUCUUGAGAGGGGCCCGGAGAGGCAGGCACUCAGCACAGAUCCAGGCCGGGUUUUCUUCCUUCUUCCUCCUCUAUCGUGCAGACUGGGGAGCUGCUGCCUGUGCACAUGCUGCUCCAGUCAGUCCUGCUCCAGGCUGAGCUGCACAGCCAGCGUGAGCCGGCGCUGGGAACUGGGAAACAGCUUCAUGUGCACACUGCAUCCUCCCUGUGCACACACUGCAUCCUCUCACUGCACACUGCAUCCUCCCUGUGCACACACUGCAUCCUCUCACUGCGCACUGCAUCCUCCCUGUGCACACAUUGCAUCCUCCCCAACAUGCUCACUGCACAUUGACUGGGGCAGGACCACAACAACGCAUGGUCCUCCAUUCCCCCCAUGCCGGGAGGGCUCCCCUUCAUCCCAUGUGCUCAGCCCCAUUUCAGGAGGGCUGGGGAGGGCUGUGGGGGCUGCAGGGCUGGAAGCCCC
ensembl:lncRNA